AAAGCCAGAUCCAUACCCCAAAACUCCCUAGUUUUUUGAGGCUGUCUCAAAAGCCAGAGGGUCAGACCCCAUAACACAAUAUAUAGGACAUAAUGUUGCAUAAAUGUGCUAUAUAUUGAUAAACGAACAUGGGGUCAGACCCUUAUGAGACAGCCUCGUUAUUUUUGCGAAUACUUUUAAAGUAAAGACGACUUAAUUUCAGUAUUUUGGAUCAUUUAAUUCCUUGUCACUCGAUUUCGUCCACUGACUAAAAAGAAAAGCAGAAAAGGAACAACUAAACACACUCCAAGGCAGCUCCAAAGAAUAUCUUCACCACUAAUAACUUGUUCCAUUAGCAGCCGGUAGUAAGCAUAAAGUGAGUAAGGCAACACCAAAAGGAUUGAAGUUAUCACUCCCGGAGUGUAUUUUUUUAGAAUAAAAGC
rnacentral:antisense_RNA from 1 species